CAGUCGCCGCGGGAAUACGAAGGGGGCUAGCGUUGCUCGGAAUGACUGGGCGUAAAGGGCGCGUAGGCGGCGAUCAAAGUCAGGCGUGAAAUUCCUGGGCUCAACCUGGGGGCUGCGCUUGAUACUUGGUUGCUUGAGUGGGGAAGAGGGUCGUGGAAUUCCCAGUGUAGAGGUGAAAUUCGUAGAUAUUGGGAAGAACACCGGUGGCGAAGGCGGCGACCUGGUCCUUGACUGACGCUGAGGCGCGAAAGCGUGGGGAGCAAACAGGAUUAGAUACCCGAGUAGUCCCUGUCUCUUAUAC
rnacentral:rRNA from 1 species